rnacentral:lncRNA from 1 species
AUGCAUACACAGUGGACAGACAUACUGAUGCAUACACAGUGGACAGACAUACUGAUGCAUACACAGUGGACAGACAUACUGAUGCAUACACAGUGGACAGACAUACUGAUGCAUACACAGUGGACAGACAUACUGAUGCAUACACAGUGGACAGACAUACUGAUGCAUACACAGUGGACAGACAUACUGACGCAUACACAGUGGACAGACAUACUGACGCAUACACAGUGGACAGACAUACUGACGCAUACACAGUGGACAGACAUACUGAUGCAUACACAGUGGACAGACAUACUGACGCAUACACAGUGGACAGACAUACUGACGCAUACACAGUGGACAGACAUACUGAUGCAUACACAGUGGACAGACAUACUGACGCAUACACAGUGGACAGACAUACUGAUGCAUACACAGUGGACAGACAUACUGAUGCAUACACAGUGGACAGACAUACUGAUGCAUACACAGUGGACAGACAUACUGACGCAUACACAGUGGACAGACAUACUGAUGCAUACACAGUGGACAGACAUACUGAUGCAUACACAGUGGACAGACAUACUGACACAUACACAGUGGACAGACAUACUGACGCAUACACAGUGGACAGACAUACUGACGCAUACACAGUGGACAGACAUACUGAUGCAUACACAGUGGACAGACAUACUGACGCAUACACAGUGGACAGACAUACUGACGCAUACACAGUGGACAGACAUACUGACGCAUACACAGUGGACAGACAUACUGACGCAUACACAGUGGACAGACAUACUGAUGCAUACACAGUGGACAGACAUACUGAUGCAUACACAGUGGACAGACAUACUGAUGCAUACACAGUGGACAGACAUACUGAUGCAUACACAGUGGACAGACAUACUGAUGCAUACACAGUGGACAGACAUACUGACGCAUACACAGUGGACAGACAUACUGACGCAUACACAGUGGACAGACAUACUGAUGCAUACACAGUGGACAGACAUACUGAUGCAUACACAGUGGACAGACAUACUGACGCAUACACAGUGGACAGACAUACUGAUGCAUACACAGUGGACAGACAUACUGAUGCAUACACAGUGGACAGACAUACCGAUGCCUACACAGUGGACAGACAUACUGACACAUACACAGUGGACAGACAUACCGAUGCCUACACAGUGGACAGACAUACUGACACAUACACAGUGGACAGACAUACACAGUGGAGAGACAUACUGA